UACGUAGGGUGCAAGCGUUAAUCGGAAUUACUGGGCGUAAAGCGUGCGCAGGCGGUUGUGCAAGACAGAUGUGAAAUCCCCGGGCUUAACCUGGGAACUGCAUUUGUGACUGCGCGGCUCGAGUGCCGGAGGGGAGAGUGGAAUUCCUGGUGUAGCGGUGAAAUGCGUAGAUAUCAGGAGGAAUACCGGUGGCGAAAGCGACUCUCUGGACGGCAACUGACGGCUGAGGCACGAAAGCGUGGGGAGCAAACAGG
rnacentral:rRNA from 1 species